UGUGUAAAAGACUUUGGGUUGUGAACUAAUUAUCUUCUUUUUUUAAAACCCACCAGGAUAAACCUAAAGGUGUUGUCAAGCCCCAAUCCCCAGCUCCUUCUUUCAAUGGGUCCCUUGGCAACGGUCCAGUCAAUCAAACCCGCCAGGUACAAGGGGUCAGCCAGCCAGGUAAAGAGGAAAAGAUACGCGAACUCAAUGAACAGGUGGACUCUCUACAGAACGUCAUCCUGCAGGUUCAGGAGAUCCACCACGGGCUGGUAGCAUUCUGUUCAGAGCUGAAGAGAAUGGAUGGGGAGGUGGAUGUGUCAGGGCUGAGAUCCCCAGAGCUGAAGCAGCGCCUUGGGCUGGCUCUGGGACUGCUCAGGGACAAGAGACACAGUCUAAAGAGCCUCCGAGAGUCCAUGAGAAACACAGCCGUUCGCAGGAAUGAGUAUGUUCAUAACAAAACGAUUGUUCCCAUAAUGCAAUGCGCCAAAGAAAAUGUAACUUUUAUGUGAGAUGCAUUGGAUCGCAGAAACAAUUA
rnacentral:lncRNA from 13 species